rnacentral:lncRNA from 1 species
UAGAAGAUCAAUGAUCGUUCGAAUUCAAGGGUGAGCCAGUUCUUCCGGGCUGCCAUGAGUUCUCUUUCUGUCUAUGUCCACAUUUCGGACUUAGACUUUCUAGUUAGUUAUUAGUACAUUAGUUUGGGGUUGUAACCCUUCUUGUUUAGAUUUAUGGAUCUUGUUAAAGUUUUGGUACAUUGACUUUAAGGUUCUAGGCGUAUCUUCCGCAUUUGUUUAGUUGUUAGACUAUUGUUUGGAGUUUAUGGGAACUCCCUAUUUCUUUCCUUGGCAUUUAACUUGCUUUCGUGACUUAAAUGUUUUUGUAUUUUGAUAAGUUGGUUAGCUAAUUAGUAUUAAUGGUUCUCCCAUCGGAGGGUUAGUGUGGGUGCCAAUCACGAUGGUCUGGGUCGUGACAAAGUUUAUAUCAGAGCCUAGGUUUGUUGAUCUCGAUGUACCAAAACGAUUCUAGUAGAGUCUGCGGAACGGUACAGAGACGUCUGUACUUUUUUCGAGAGGCUCUAAGACUUUAGGAAAUAUCUCUGUUUUCUCGUGUCUUUUUUCGUGCUAUAACUUGAUUCCAAUUGGUAUCUGUCGAUUCAAAUUGGUAUCUAACCUCAUUCACUCUAUUGUCUGCAGAUGGUUAACACUAGAUUCAACGGCGUCAAGCCCGUAGCUCCCGUCAAUGCUCCAACUGAGAAAUCUACAACGAGAGGUCGCGAUCGAGGCAUGAGUAGAGGAAGAGCUAGGGGUAGAAGCUGAGGAAGGGCAGCGCCUCCUAGGGAUGAAGCACCGGUUGGAGAAGCUUCUAGAAAUGAGGCCCCUCUUGUGCACCAUGAAGAGGUAGAUAAGAAUGUUGAGGUUGAGAACGAGGAAGAUGUUGGACAAAAGAAAGAGAUACAGGCUGAGACUACAUGUAUUCCUCUCAUAGACCAGUGUUAGCUCAACAUAUCAUGUCGUUCUUGAAAGGAUUGGUUAGUCCUGGAGUGCUUCCCUCUAUUCAAGCAACUCAAGCUCUUGCCAAUCCCCCUGUUGCUAUCACUGCGCCCAAGGUGGGUGGAACUGGAGGUACUGAUACUUUCUUCCGUCCUUUGUUGGGUUCUGUUAUGACUGGUAAUGGGCAUGAAAUGUUGACUAAGUUUUUGAAGCUAAAGCCUUAUGUAUUUCUUGGUUCUGAGAGUGGGGAUGCUUAUGAGUUUAUUUUAGACUGCUAUGAGGGGCUUCAUAAGUUGGGAAUUGUCCAUCAGUUUCGUGACUUUUCAACUUCAAGGUGAGGCUAAGCAGUGGUGGAGAGCUUAUGUGGAGUGCAGAUCUUCAACUUUACCCUCACUCUCUUGGACCCAGUUUCAUGUUCUGUUAUUAGAGAAAUAUGUGCCUAGGACUUUGAGAGAUCGCAAGAAGGAUGAGUUCAAGUCUUUGGAGCAAGGUGGUAUGUCUGUGGUUGCUUAUGAGGCAAAGUUUCAUGCUUUGGCUAGAUAUGCUACUCAAUUGGUAACUACUGAGGAGGAGAGGAUCCGUUUAUUUAUUAGGGGACUAAACUCUGAGUUACAUAUAUUAUCUAUUCACAUGACCUCUGCAGGGAGGAGCUUUAAUGAGGUAACAGACUUUGUUAAGAGAGUGGAGAGGGUGAGGUGAGACGGUCAGGCUAAGGCAUUGGCUUAAAGGGUCAAGAACUCGGGUAACUUUCAGGGUUCUUACUCCAGGGGGUCCGAAAGGCCAACAUUUGUAGCCAAGCCAAUUCAAUCUGUUAGGCCCGCCUCUACAGGUAAUUACUCGGGAAGUUCACCUCAUAACUUGAUUCAAGAUAUUCAAGAAGUCGCACCUUCAGCGGGCAGCAGGCCAUACUUUGAUCGUACUUGCUACAAUUAUGGAGAACCUUGGCAUAUGAGGAGAGAUUAUCCCCACCCGCGCAUGAUGGAUUCCACGCAGGAACAGUCUAGAGCAGUGGUACCCGUGGAGAAUGGUAAUAAUGGUCGAGGAAGUCCACAAGGCAGGGAAGUCGCCCAUCACGAUGAUAGGGCUCAAAGCUAUGCCUUUCCGAGCAAGAAUAAGGUAGAGAUGUCUGACGCAAUGACCACAUGUACUAUUCUUGUCUAUGACCGAAUGGCUAAUGUGUUAUUUGAUCCAAGUUCUACUUGUUCUUAUGUAUCUGUGCUAUUCGCCUCAGAAUUUGCUAAGAUUUGUGAUAUACUUGAUGCCCCCAUCUAUGUUUCUAACCCAGUUGGAGAGUCUGUCAUAGUCACCCAUGUUUAUCAUGCUUGUCCUAUUUUGUUUAUGGGUUUUCAGACUUGGACUGAUUUAGUGAUUUCGGAUAUGACUGAUUUUGAUAUAAUCUUAGACAUGACUUGGUUGUCCCCCUAUUAUGUUGUGCUUAAUUGUAAUACUAAGUUUGUAAUCUCUAGAAAUUCUGGGAAGGGAAAAAUUAGAGUGAGAAGGGGUGUACAAGCCUAAGCAAACUAAGAUCAUAUCCUUCAUUCGGGCUAGUAAAUUGGUAGAACAGGGUUGUUUAGCUUAUUUAGCUCAUAUUUGGGAUGUUGAGGUUGAGUCUCCAUCUAUUGAGUCUAUUUCUGUAGUGUCAGAAUUUAGAGAAGUGUUUCCUAAUGAUUUGUCUGGUAUGCCUCCGGAUAGAGAUAUAGAUUUCUGCAUUGAUUUAGAACCUGGUACUCGUCUAAUUUCUAUCCCUCCAUAUCGCAUGGCUCCGGCAAAAUUAAGAAAGCUUAAGGCUCAAAUCCAAGAGCUUCUUGAUAAGGGAUUUAUUCGUCCUAGUGCUUCCCCGUGGGGUGCCCCAGUUUUGUUUGUUAGGAAAAAAAAUGAUAGUAUGAGGAUGUGUAUAGAUUACCGGCAAUUGAAUAGGGUCACUAUUCGAAACAAGUACCCAUUGCCUCGGAUAGAUGAUUUUUUUGACCAAUUGCAAGGUGCAUCAAUCUUCUCUAAAAUUGAUCUAAGGUCUGGUUACCAUCAAUUAAAAAUUAGGCCUGAGGAUGUGCCUAAGACGGCGUUUAGAACCCUCUAUGGGCAUUAUGAAUUCCUAGUUAUGUCUUUUGGUUUGACUAAUGAGCCUUCAACUUUCAUGAGUUUGAUUAAUGGGGUGUUCAAGACAUUUCUUGAUUCAUUCGUUAUAGUAUUUAUUGAUGAUAUUUUGGUCUAUUCGAAAAGUAAGGAAGAGCAUGCCGACCAUCUUCGUAUUGUUCUGGGUGUUCUUGGGAAACAAAGGUUGUAUGCGAAAUUUCUAAGUGCGAAAGUUGGUUGACUUCGAUUGCAUUUUUGGGACAUGUAGUUUUAAAAAAUGAGGUAAUGGUAGAUCCUCAAAACAUUGAGGCGGUUAAGAAUUGGGUUCAGCCUAGCUAUGUGACGGAAGUUAGGAGUUUUAUUGGGCUCACUAGCUACUAUCGUCGAUUUGUGAAGAACUUUGCUUCUAUUGCCACUCACUUGACAAACUUGAGCAAAAAAAAAGAUAUCAUUUGAAUGGACUGAAAAAUGUGAGGAGAGCUUUCGAAAGCUCAAGACUCUCUUGACCAUCGUGCCUAUCCUAGCAUUAUCGGUAGAAGGUAAAGAUUUUGUUGUUUAUUGUGAUGCUUCACAUUCUGGUUUAGGUGUUGUGUUGAUGCAGGAUAAGAAUAUUAUAGCUUAUGCCUCGCAUUAAUUGAAGGUGCAUAAGAGGAAUUAUCCAACACAUGAUUUGGAGUUGGCAGCGGUAGUGUUCGCUCUUAAGAUCUGGCGGCAUUAUCUUUAUGGUUUUAAGUGUGAGGUGUUUACUGAUCAUCGUAGUUUGCAGCAUUUGUUCACUCAAAAGGAUCUGAAUUUGAGACAGCGAAGGUGGAUGGAGUUACUCAAGGAUUAUGAUGUAACCAUUCAAUACCAUCCGGGUAAGGCUAAUGUUGUGGCAGACGGUUUGAGUCGAAAAGUGGUGAGUGUGGGUAGUCUAGCUUGCUUGAGUGUGACCAAGCGACAUUUGGCUAAGAAAAUUCAGACAUUGGAGUCUAAGUUCAUGCAGUUGGCAUCUCAGAAAGAGGUAGGGUGUUAGCUAGCAUUGAAGUGAGGGUCACAUUCAUUGAAGAUAUCAAGGCCAAACAAUUUGAAGAUGAAAAUUUGAAUGCACUUAAGAAGAAAACUGUGAUUGUUAAGGCACAAGAUACCACUCUUAAUGCGGGAGGUGUGCUCAGUUUUAAGGGAAGGAUUUGUGUUCCUCGAGUUGAUGACUUAAUUCAGAAAUGGUUGACAGAAUCCCAUGGCUCGCGCUAUUCUAUUCAUCCGGGUGUGACCAAUAUGUACCGAGAUUUGAAGCUAAUUUAUUGGUGGUCUGGCAUGAAGAAGGAUAUAGCAGAGUUUGUGGCUAAGUAUCAAAAUUUCCAACAAGUGAAGUAUGAACAUCAAAGGCCUGCAUGUUUAAUUCAAAGAAAGCCAAUUCCGGAAUGGAAGUGGGAAAGGAUAGCCAUGGAUUUUGUGGUUGAUCUUUCCAAGACUUUGGAGAAGUUUGAUUCUAUUGGGUAGUGGUUGAUAGAUUAACUAUGUCAGCCCAUUUUAUUUCGGUAAGAAUAGAUUAUAAUGCUGAACAAUUGGCUAAGGUGUAUGUGAAAGAGAUAAUGAAGUUGCAUGUGGUGCCCCUCUCUAUCAUCUCAGACCGUGGUACCCAAUUAACGUCCAAGUUUUGGAGGAAGUUACAUGAUGAAUUGGGCACACAACUCACUUUUAGUACAGCCUUCCAUCCACAAACGGACGGAUAAUCGGAGAGGACUAUUCAAGUGUUAGAAGACAUAUUGAGGGCAUGUGUGAUUGAUUUUGGAGGGCAUUGGGAUAAAUUCAUACCUUUGUGUGAGUUAUCCGAUAAUAAUAGUUAUCACUCCAACAUUGAUAUGGCACCGUUUGAGGCUUUAUAUAGGAGGGGAUGUAGAUCACCCAUAGGAUGGUUCGAGGCUGGAGAUGUGAUCAAACCUUUAAGGGUUGAUUUAGUGAAGGAUGCCCAAGAUAAGGUGAGGAGCAUCCAAACUAAACUCUUAGCAGCCCAAAAUAGACAGAAAAAGUAUGCAGAUCAUAAGGUGAGGGACAUGACAUUUCAGAUUGGUGAGAAUGUUUUUCUUAAGGUAUCACCCAUGAAAGGGGUGAUGAGAUUUGGUAAGAAAGGCAAACUAAGUCUGCGAUACAUUGGUCCCUUUGAGGUUCUUGAAUGUGUAGGACCGAUAGAGUAUAGAUUGGCUUUACCUCCUAACCUAUCGGGAGUUAAUCCAGUAUUUCAUGUGUCCAUGUUGAAGAGAUAUCAUGGUGACAGGAAUUACAUCAUUAAAUGGGACUCAAUUGUGUUAGACAAAGACCUCUAAUAUGAGGAGGAACCUGUUGUAAUUCUUGAUCGUGAUGUGCGUAAGUUGAGGACCAAAGAGAUUAAGUCUGUCAAGGUUCAAUGGAAGCAUCGUCCAGUUGAGGAAGCUACUUGGGAAACUGAGAAGGACAUGCGAGACAAGUAUCCCCAAUUGUUCAUCGAUUCAGGUACUACUCCAUUCUCUAUUUAGCUUGUUUUUACUAAGUUUGUCACUCGGGGACGAGUGAUGGGUAAAUUGGUAUCUAUUGUAACGACCGGGUUCCGUCAUUAUAUAAAAGCCACUGGAGAAAAUUUUUGGACCGAAAAACUUUUUCAUAGUAACUUGGAAUUUCCCAACCUAGUCCAGAUUUGGACGAAAUCGGAGUCAGUGAGAUCUAGGGAAAUCUGGUAGCAAUUGGGUGAUUUAAAUAUAUUUUUGAUUGCAUGAAUGGAUAACUAAGGUGUUAAGGAAUCCGUAUGACUUUACAGAAUUAAAUUCGGGUGAGUAGAACUCCCAAAACUGACCUUGGCGUGAAUAGGUAGUUUCUGAGUGUCACUGGUUGAAGGUGUGUUGUGAAAUGGGGAUUUUGGAAUUAUUAUUUUGCUCACUAUUUCGGGCAAGCUGCUUUGGCGGUGAUUUCUGCAGCCAAGGCGGGGACGCUAUAGCAGGCUAGUGCCGCCAUGGCGGGGCAAACGGGACUUAAAGUCGGAAAUAAACCCUAAAAAUAUUUUAUUCUGCAAUUUUCGAACUUGAGAGCUAAGGAACGAACCAGGGCUUUUCCUCACAGUUUUCCACCAUUCUUGAGGCUAAAGGUAAGAUUUUAACUCCCCGAAUCCGUUUUUCAUUCUGUAGAACGUAAUCUAAUGGGUAAUUAUCGAUGAGGGAGGGUUUUUGAUCUAGAAUUUAUGGUGGAAACAACCCUAAUUGGGAUAUUGGGAUCAAGGGUUUGAUCUAGGGUUGUUAGAAUUGUUAGUAAUCCGGGUAAUUGGUGAUUGUUUAUUGAUUCACGUAUUAUAUUGAUUGUUUAUAGACCAAGAACAAGCGGAACAAAUUCAGAAAGGAAAGAAUCAAGUUUCUUAGGGUUUCAAGCUUAUUUCGAGGUAUGUGAUGGUUGUGAUUUUAUGAUUGUGUGGUAUAUGUUUGUUAUUGCUUCAUUAUGAUACAUGUAUAUGUAUGCGAAUGUUGCAUUAUUGAUCACAUAAAUUGUAAAUGGGGAUAUAUGAAUGUCAUGAAUCAUGACUUGACCGUAUGAUUAUGAUAAUAUACUUGUGAUUGUGAUUGUGGCUUGUUGAAUGGAUCGGGUGUUGCGUUCCGACACACUAACUUGGAUCGGUUGUCACAUUCCGACAUAAUUAUGGGAUCAGUUGCCACGUUCCGGCAUAAUCAUUGGAUCGGGUACCAUGUUUCGGUAUACUAACAGUUUGAGUUUGGGUUCCAUGAGAGGACCAAUGACUUGAUAUAACUGUGAUAUUUGAGAAUCGUGAAAUUGUUCGUUGUUCGUAAAAUAAUGUUGAUAUUGUAUAUGUUCGGUGUAUGCAUGUUAUUGUAUUUUUGUCUUGACUUAUAUAUGUUGCACUUAGUGGGAUAGCCGCGUGAUCCUACCAGUACACUGUGGUUGUGUACUGAUAAUGCACUUGCUCUUUCUUUGUUGAGUACAAGGCAUCUUCAGACGGCUAUUGACAUACCUCACUUAGAAGAUCAGUGAUCAUUCGAAUUCAAGGGUGAGCCAGUUCUUCCGGGCUGCCAUGAGUUCUCUUUCUGUCUAUGUCCAUAUUUCGGAUUUAGACAUUCUAGUUAGUUAUUAGUACAUUAGUUUGGGGUUGUAACCCAUCUUGUUUAGAUUUAUGGAUCUUGUUAGAGUUUUGGUACAUUGACUUUCAGGUUCUAGGCGUAUCUUCCGCAUUUGUUUAGUUGUUAGACUAUUGAUUUGGAGUUUAUGGGAACUCUCUAUUUCUUUCCUUAGCA